rnacentral:rRNA from 1 species
ACGAACGCUGGCGGCGUGCUUAACACAUGCAAGUCGAACGGAAAGGCCCUGCUUGCAGGGUGCUCGAGUGGCGAACGGGUGAGUAACACGUGGGUGAUCUGCCCCUUACUUUGGGAUAAGCCUGGGAAACUGGGUCUAAUACUGGAUAGGACCAUGCUGUAGGGGGUGUGGUGGAAAGAUUAGUUUCGGUAAGGGAUGAGGUCGCGGCCUAUCAGCUUGUUGGUGGGGGAAUGGCCUACUAAGGCGUCGACGGGUAGCCGGCCUGAGAGGGUGGACGGCCACAUUGGGACUGCGGUACGGCCCAGACGCCUACGGGAGGCAGCAGUGGGGAAUAUUGCACAAUGGGCGCAAGCCUGAUGCAGCGACGCCGCGUGGUGGAUGACGGCCUUCGGGUUGUAAACUCCUUCCAGCCAUGACGAAGCCCUUGUGGUGACGGUAGUGGUAGAAGAAGCACCGGCUAACUACGUG